rnacentral:rRNA from 1 species
AUUACUGGGCGUAAAGCGUGCGCAGGCGGCUCUUUAAGUCAGGUGUGAAAUCCCUGGGCUUAACCURGGAAYKGCRYUUGARACUGGCUGGCUAGAGUGCGGCAGAGGGGGRUGGAAUUCCUCGUGUAGCAGUGAAAUGCGUAGAUAUGCGGAGGAACACCGAUGGCGAAGGCAAYCCCCUGGGCCURYACUGACGCUCAUGCACGAAAGCGUGGGGAGCAAACAGGAUUAGAUACCCUGGUAGUCCACGCCCUAAACGAUGUCGACUGGUUGUUGGGGGAGU